rnacentral:rRNA from 1 species
CCCUUAGUUAUCCUAGGUCGCACGCGCCAUACAAUGUGGCACACAACGAGUCUCCUUGGCCGACAGGAUGUCCCGCGAGCGAUCGGCGACGCAGCCAGCUCGGUCUUCGGGCAGACUCGGUGAGAGUGGCCCGUCCUCCUGAGAGGGCGAUCGUCGAUGCCUCGGGAUUCUGGGCAAUCUGGCAGAGCGCUACGUGACUGGGCUAGACUUUUGUAAUUUUUGGUCUUGAACGAGGAAUGCCUAGUAAUCGCAGGUCAGCAUCCUGCGAUGAUUCGGUCCCUGCCCUUUGUACACACCGCCCGUCGCUCCAUCCGUGGCAUGCGCCGGUGAAGAGGGGGAGGCAGCGUCGGCCGUGUAACAGCGGAUCGUACGUGGAACCCCUCUGAACCUUCGCACGUAGAGGAAGGAGAAGUCGUAACA